rnacentral:misc_RNA from 1 species
AUUACAUUACAUAUUACUUAAGCACAAGAAAUUCUCAUCAUCAGUAUGUAUGUGAAAAUCAGAGAAAGGAUUCUUUCAUUCUCCUUUCAUAACUAAGAUUAUUUCGAUAAUAACGAGACCAAAAAAAAUGAAUAGGGAAAUUUCCAAAAAGAUGAAAAAGAAAAAGAAGAAGAGAAUAAAGCAAGAAGAAAGUACCAUAUUGUUGUGAGGUGGAAGGU